rnacentral:lncRNA from 1 species
CUCAUAUACAGACAAAAAAAUCAAACAAUGAGAGUUCCCUUUGUAGUUCAUUAAUGCAAAGUGGCACUUUUUAAGAGCUGUUUUGUGCUCAUGGGCCAUGAAGUCAAGGCCUGGUGCUCUGAUAAAAGGAGCAGAUCUUGAAUAAACAUGGACUGCUAACUAGAAGAUUAUUGAGUGUCAGAGGGGUAAGAUUCUGGAAGUCUUGCAGUGAAGAUACUGAAGGAUCCUCACGAGUCCAAAAUACAGAUUUCAAGAGUCUCAAUACCACGUCUGCAUCUCUUGGUGAACCGAGAAGCUCAGCACAGAUUCAGUGUCCUCUCUCCACAUCUCCCAACGUUUUCCAUCCAGGGCUGCCCAGUGACUCCAUCCCCGUCUCUUCUGGGAGAGGUCUGCAGGCAAGCCAGGAUGCGGAGGUAAAAAGACAGGAGAUAACAGGAAACAAACCUGGGGAAGUCCUCAUCUUGCCACUCCUCCUUGACAUCCACGUUUUCCAUCCGUAAAGUGGCUUCUGUGGUUCCCAUGGUGCUCGGAGCGGGCUGGCUGGACAGCAGCUCCCCCAGGAAAGGGCUCAGGCUGGAAGGCGAAAGGCAGAGAGGUUGUUGUUGAGCAUCGCUACCUGGGAGUAUUUAAUGUGAACCAUUCAGAGCAGGCACAGGAGAUACCUUGGGGCUCAGAGAGACCCCACCUCCCUCCCUCCUCCCAGCACUGCCAGCUGCUUUCUGCUCACCCUGAAGGCAUCAUGGAGGGAGGGAGAGAGAGGAAAGAUGCUGAAGCAGAUCCCAGGCUGACGUUUCUUAACAUCAAACAUCGCCCAGCAGCGUGGAAGCCCAGAUGAUGCUGUACUCACCGAUGCUUGUGGCUAAUGAGGAACAAAGGAGGUGCUGCCUGUAUCCCAGCUGGACAUUCCUCCGGAGGGCGACGGGCUGCUCAGCAGGUCCAGCGCCUGGAUCCGGAUGCAGACGUGUGCGGCUUUCUCAGCGCAGGAGCAUGGGGAUGCAUCUAGAAGCAGGCAGAAGAUCCAUUAGGACAGAAAGAUGCUAGGACGUCUGUGACACUUGAUGGCUCUAAAGUUAAAUAUCAAAGUCCGCAGUGUCAUCUCCAGCUAAGCAAAUAGAGAUAUUAUUACAGGCAGAAAAGCUGUUUUGGAGUCUGCCACAGGAGGGCGAUGGAUCCCCCGAGCCUGGCUGUGCUGGAGCUGCAGGAGCCGGGCUCUAGAGGUCGCUUUGCACCAGGAGAUGGUUGAGCUGAGAGCUGACACUGUCCUCGUGGUUUCUCCAAAGAGAAAAGCAGAAAUAGUCAAGCAGAGGUUACAGCUUUUCAUUUAUGAGGAGGCGUGAGAGAGCGUGAAUCCCAGGAGCUGCCAAGGGCAUGAGGAGAGCGCUGUGAAGGAGGAACCCAAAGCUGGGUGCCAGCUGCAUGGAUAAACUCACACAGCUCCCAAGGGAUGAGGAAACCAAAUGCAUCCUGAUUCCCAGACGAUGGGGCAAUGUGGCUUGAUUUCUUGCCAUAGCAGAGGGAUCAGCCAGCGUGUGGAGAGGAGCUGGAGGGGAGAGGCGGCAGGUCUGUGCCUGGUCACUUCUGCAGCGCUUGGAUUUGUCAUCUUGAUGGGGAGCUGUUGGUGGCAUGAACUACUUGAAACCACCUGGUGCGCGGGGAAUGCUUUCCCUUCAAGAGAUGCUUAAACUCCUACUGAUUUUAGACAGAGCCCGUACGGAAGUUGCCCCCAGUGAUCCAUUUUACAUGGGAGAGUGAGGAGGAGAAAUGCAGAAUCCAGAAACAUGUGCAAAGCCGCUUCCUUGAGAUACCCCGAGGAAAGGCCCUGUAUGGCUCAGCAACCUUGGAAAACACGGGAAACACCAGACACUUUGGUGCUCCGCACAAAGAAAAGCGAGGAACAAGGUGCGAGCGCAGUUCAGAGCGUCCUGUCCGUGACCGUUGUGUGAAGCAGCUCUGCAGCGUUCCAGUACCACAGAUGUGCAUACAGGUGACGGUCUGGCAUCGGCAUGCACUUUCCCAGUAGCGAUGCAGAGCAGACCAAGGCACUCUCGAUUACAUUUCAUGCUGCUCUGCUGUUGGUUUAUUCAGGAAUAGCCCAAGCACCCCAGCUCUCAGCAAGAACAUCAAUUCAGCUCCUGGAGAUACAGGAACCCUUUUUGGAGCUGCUCCUCGGACACAGAU